rnacentral:lncRNA from 1 species
CAUAAAAUCCCCAGAAUGGGCCCCACAAGAGCCCCACCUGGAAGACUCUAGGUUCUCAUCUUCAUGCCCCGAUGUAAGGAGAGUGGUCCUUCUGUACAUCAGGAGUCUGAAAUGCAUCUCACUGGGCUAAAAUCAAGAUCUGUGGCACAUGGAACCACAUGUGGGACAAGAGACUAAUAAAGAUGUGACCUACUCACAGAGGCUUCAGGUGUUUUGCGAAGUACAUUGGCUUUUAUUCAACGUGCAGUGGGACUCCAACUAAAGUGUUUCAGGAAGGCACGGCCCUUUUGUGAUCUCCUGGUUCUUGUAAAUCUCACUGUGGCUGAUGAGGUCUGGAUAGAUAAUCAUGAUGGUGGCUGAAGAGAGACAAUGGUGGUGCUAGGUUACCAGUGGCGUGGAGCUCAGAGCUAAUGCAGAGCAGCUGGAGCAGUGCUGAGUUUCAAAACGUGUUGGAAAAAAUAUUAUAUGAAUGAUGCUAUUUUUUUCACUGAAUCACAUCAAGAAGCACAUGAUGUUAAGCUGUCUCAUCAUUGGUGGUGUUAACUUGGAUCGCUUGAUUAAGGUGAUGCCUUUCAUAUUUAUAUACUACAAAGUUAGCCCUUUUUAAUCAAUAAGUAAUCUAUUCAGAGAUAAAUGAGAACUGCAUAAAUAUCUUGGUAACAAACAAGUUUUACCCAAUAUUGUUUUCCUCCAUUGAUGAUUCUUGCCUUAAUCAAUUAUUACCAUGACAGUAGCAAAAUAGUGAUAUUUUAGUUAUCAUUUCUUGUACAUGUAUUAGUUUUACAUAGUAAACAAAAGCGUUUCCUCCUCUCAUUUUCUCUUUCUCUCCCUUCUUUCCAUCCAUUCUUCCUUCCUUUCUAUUUCUGUCUGUCUCUGUCUCUGUCUCUGUGCCUCUCUGUCUCCUUUGCCCUUCUCAUUGUCCGUUUUUAUUUAUAUUUCUUAAUGUGUGGAUUCAUAAACUAUUCUUUUCAAUUGCAUUAUAAUCUGUUACUGUCAUUUUUUAUUGUACCAGAUUUAGCGAGUAUGAGCUAACAAUUUCUAAUUUUAAUCCAACAUUUUAAAUCACAUGGUCUUCUUCAUCUUCUCUGUUUACAUAUUCGUAUUUACUUCCUUUCACAAUCAUAAUCUUGCCUCCCUCCCCCAAAGGAAUAUAUUUUCUUCUAUGGGACACCAAAGAUAAUAGAUUUUAAUUUAGUUUUAGAGUUUUCCAAAAUGUUUGUUGAUUUAAUUUUAUUUUUGAUUAUGUAUUAAUUGAACAUGCUUCCAGUUUUCAAAAUUAUAUGAAAUGAUAUAUACAGAGAAUUGCCACUCAAUCUUCUCUUCUUCCCAUAUUAUUGUCACUUCUUGCCUGUGGUUAACCAAUUUCACUGGAUUCUGGUUAUCCUUGCGUUUAUUUUUUAAAAUAUGUAAGUUAUAUGUUAUUAUAUAUGUUUUUCCCUUAAAAUUUUUCCUGAUAAUCCAUAUCGGGCCAUAGAGAUCUCCUUUAUUACUUCCUGCAUAGUAAUCCAUUGUGUAUAUAUAUUAGGUUGGUGCAAAAGUCGUUGCAGUUUUUGCAAUUACUUUUAAUGGCAAAAACUGCAAUUACUUUUGCACCAACAUACAUCGUUUAGCCCGAGAACUACUCACUCUGGGUCUCCUCUCCACUGAGGGCUGCACACAUGCCGGGAUGACCUGCCUGUGGAAAGGAGCUACAACUUCAGGUCUCCUGAGAGCUGUAGAGCCAGAUUACAAAUUACCCCACAUUUUCUUCUAAUGCAUGUGAUGGCAGCAGCGGCCAAAUAGAGUAGCUGCUGCAAAGGUGCUAGCUGCAGUGGGGUAUGCAUGACUGGGACGGCUAACUCCGCGGAGCUGGCAGGAGCUGGGAACAGGCGGGAGCUCCACCCCCUUCCAAGUGGGUGGGGCAUGAGCUUUGUGCUUCUGGGUGCAACUGCAGCUGCCCAGCCACGACUGCGGACCCAGGCAUCCCUGUGGUCUUGGGGGCCCAGGAAGUCUCCCUGCCCCCGCAGGCUCAGAAGGGCCUCCUCCUGCUGCCUGGCCUCUCUCCACUCCCAGCAUCCACUCUGAUUUUGGAGGAAAGUUGUGGCCGAGCUCGGGCUCUGUCACGACCCGGCUGGGUGUGCGCACACUCAAGGCAGCACUGACAUGCCAGCCCCUUGCCGCCUCGGCCCCACUCCGUAAUUGGGACACUGACAAACAUGGGAGGGAGGUCAAGAGGGGGCUGAGGGCGGCUUUGUGUGAGCCUGCAGGCACCCCUUGGCACGAACAGCCUGGGCACCAUGAAUGGCAGCAGUAGGCAGACAGGCUCCUGGGCAGAAAGGGGCACGUCCCUGGUGAAACCCCACCUUCAAGCCAGGGAGGGCCUGAAGCCUGGGGGCUGGGCUGCCAGUUGCACAGACCAGAGUGAGAACUUAUGGUGCUUUUUCUGGGCCCGCCCAUGGCCACCCGUAGACCAAUCAGCACACUCUUCCUCCCCUGUGAAACCCAUAAAAACCCUCAGAGUCACCCAGAAUUGGACAGAUGACAAGACAACCGGACUGCAGGGAGGAGCUACCCAUUCAAGGUCUCCUCUCCAAUGAGGGUUGCAGAGAUGUUGGGGCAAUUUGCCUGCAGAUAGGAGCUACCCACUUGGGAUCUCCUCUCUGCCGAGGACUACACACUUGAUGGGAUGACCUGCUUGUGGAGAAGAGCUACCCACUGUGGGUCUCCUCUCAGCUGAGGGUUGCACAGAUGCCCAGACCACAUGCCUGUGGAAAGGGGAUACCCACUUUGGGUCUCCUGAGAGCUGUACUGCCACUCAAUAAAGCACUGCUUCACCUUGCUCACCCUCCAGUUGUCUGCAUACCUCAUUUUUCCUGGAUAUGGGACAAGAACUUGGGACCAGACAGACAAAUGGCAGGACUAAAAGAGCUGUAACACAAACAGGGCUGUAACCCCCACCCCAACACCACUGGCCACAUUGUGGGUGACGAGAAGGAAAGAAGUAGAGAAGAGCUGCAGUUCUUUGGGGAUUGCAAACCUAGGAGCUCCCUGAGCCAGGGCUGUGAAACCUUCUUUAGGGCUCUGCAUUUCCGGGCAUCAUCUCCAAGCUUCCAGGUGCCACCGCAUUCCCUGGUUCCUGAGGCAGAAGCUACUUGUGAUACACUUGGUCUAGCUACAGCCUUGCAGGGAGCCGGAGCCUGUGCCAGUGCCUGGAGCUGCCCACCCCACCACAGCCAGCGUGCCUGGCCGUGCGCGGUGGCCGGACCCCACUUUUGCUUCUUCACACACCCCUCACCACUCUGCGCUUGGCCCAACCUUGGCAGGCAUGGGAUCCGGGUGGUAGCGAAAGCCGAGUGCAGCCUGUCAGGCCCACUGGGUGGAACAGGCUCAGCAGGCCCAAGCAAAACUUGGGCAAAGGUGCCACUGGCCAUAGAGGUUGCUGGCUGGUGAAGCAACACCCUAAGGAACCUGGGAAACAUGUAUGGCUACAUUUAUAUUUUACACUCAGAAUUCUAAUUCAUUUGGAUUUUUUUUUUUUUCUGUGUAGAGGGAAAAGUGUGAAUCCAUUUUUAUCAUUAUCUAAAUGACUGUUCAGUUGUUCCAACAUGCUUUGAUAAAAUGUCCAUAUUUGUCUCUGUGAUUUGAAAUGACUACCUUUAUCGUGUAGUAAAUUUUACUAUGUUCUUGGCUGUUGUAUUUUCUAUUAUAUUCCACUGGUCUGUUAUUUCUUUACCAGUAUAAAUAACAUGGAUUCAAUUGCAGAAACUUUAUAGUAUGUUUUAAAAUCUGGUGGCACUAUUCCUUUCCUGUUGCUCUUAUUUUUAUGGGUUGUCCUACGUGUUCAUGCAUAUUAUUUUUCACAUGAACAACUCCACAAUAGUUGGAGAAAAAAAAUCUUCCUGGUAUUUUAUUAGAGUUGCAUUAAAUUUAUGCAUAAACUAAGAGAUAAGAGAGACAUAACAUCUUGUUGACAUUGACACAUCAUAAUCAAGAACAAGCAAUGUCAUUUCAUUUUUGCACAUCUUCCUUUUUGUCUUCCAGGAGAUGCUAAUCAUUUUCCUUAUAUAGUUUUUAAAUCGUCUUCCCUUAGUAUUACGUAGAUUGUCAUUAUUUUAAAGGCUAAUUCUGACAGCUUCAUUAUUUGGCAUCUUUGUAUUGUGCAUAUUUUUUCUUGAUUUUAGAUCAUUUGAUCUUGAGUCCUAGUGUGUUGGUUA